rnacentral:rRNA from 1 species
AGCGAACGCUGGCGGCAUGCUUAACACAUGCAAGUCGCGCGGGUGGUUUCGGCCAUCGGCGGCGGACGGGUGAGUAUCGCGUAGGAAUGUAUCCCGAGGUGGGGGACAACCCUGGGAAACUGGGGCUAAUACCGCAUGGGGCCUGUGGGGCAAAGCCUUAGAACGCCUUGGGAGCAGCCUGCGUCCGGUUAGGUAGUUGGUGGGGUAAAGGCCUACCAAGCCUGCGAUCGGUAGAUGGUCUGAGAGGACGAUCAGCCACACUGGGACUGAGACACGGCACAGACUCCUACGGGAGGCAGCAGUGGGGAAUAUUGGACAAUGGGCGCAAGCCUGAUCCAGCAAUGCCGCGUGGGUGAAGAAGGUCUUCGGAUUGUAAAGCCCUUUCGGCGGGGACGAUGAUGACGGUACCCGCAGAAGAAGCCCCGGCUAACUUCGUG